AGCUUAACACAUGCAAGUCGAACGGACUGUAUACGCAGCUUGCUAGUCGAUGUAUAGAGUUAGUUGGCAGAACGGGUGAGUAAUGCAUAGGAAUCUACCUAGUAGUAUGGGAUAGCCACUAGAAAUGGUGGGUAAUACUGUAUAAUCCCUGCGGGGGAAAGAUUUAUCGCUAUUAGAUGAGCCUAUGUCAGAUUAGCUAGUUGGUGGGGUAAUGGCCUACCAAGGCGGUGAUCUGUAGCUGGUCUGAGAGGAUGAUCAGCCACACUGGAACUGAGACACGGUCCAGACUCCUACGGGAGGCAGCAGUGGGGAAUAUUGGACAAUGGGCGCAAGCCUGAUCCAGCUAUGCCGCGUGAGUGAGGAAGGCCUUAGGGUUGUAAAACUCUU
rnacentral:rRNA from 1 species